rnacentral:rRNA from 1 species
UACGUAGGGGGCAAGCGUUGUCCGGAUUUAUUGGGCGUAAAGAGCGUGUAGGCGGCCAGGUAGGUCUGCUGUGAAAACUCGAGGCUCAACCUCGAGACGCCGGUGGAAACUGCAAAGCUAGAGUCCGGAAGAGGAGAGUGGAAUUCCUGGUGUAGCGGUGGAAUGCGCAGAUAUCAGGAGGAACACCAAUAGCGAAGGCAGCUCGCUGGGACGGUACUGACGCUAAGGCGCGAAAGCGUGGGGAGCGAACAGG